rnacentral:rRNA from 1 species
CAGUAGCCACGGUAAUACGUAGGUGGCAAGCGUUGUCCGGAAUUAUUGGGCGUAAAGCGCGCGCAGGCGGAUAGGUCAGUCUGUCUUAAAAGUUCGGGGCUUAACCCCGUGAUGGGAUGGAAACUGCCAAUCUAGAGUAUCGGAGAGGAAAGUGGAAUUCCUAGUGUAGCGGUGAAAUGCGUAGAUAUUAGGAAGAACACCAGUGGCGAAGGCGACUUUCUGGACGAAAACUGACGCUGAGGCGCGAAAGCCAGGGGAGCGAACGGGAUUAGAUACCCGAGUAGUCCCUGUCUCUUAUACA